UCUUUUAAUUGAAAUUAAUUACUAAUUUUAUUUAAAAACCACAACUCACAAAUAAAAUUAAAACAAGUCAAAAUUGAACAAACAUAAUUUCAAGUGCUGGCAUAUAUAUAUAUAUAUAUAUUUAUUUAUUUAACAAUUAAAUCUUAAACCAUUUUAAACAUGCAAUAAUGAACAUGCACAUGCAGUCAGAUCCUAAAAAUUAAAAUCCUAACCUUUAAAAUAAAAAUCCUAAACUUUAAGGGUCCUAUAGGAGCUUAUUUCGACCGGUCAAAAAUUAUGUGCUCACAAAUCUUUGUCUCUCCCACCGCACGACGUACAUAUCUUUUUGUGCACAUCUUGAAGAUUUAGAGCGGGUUCUAUGGGUUCAACUAAACCCACUAUACCUUCAACUUGAACUAUGUAUACACGUGCAAACAAAAAAA
rnacentral:lncRNA from 1 species